CUCAUGGGUGAGGUCUCUGCUCAGCAGCAUCCAAGGCCAGGGGAGGAGAUGGGGGCCCAGGCUCAGCUCCUCUGCUCUCUGCUGCUCUGGAUCUCAGGUUCCAGGGGGGCCAUUGUGGUGACUCAGUCUCCAGAAUUUUUGUCAGUGUCUCCAGGAGAGAAAGUCACCAUUAGUUGUAAGACCAGCUCGGGUGUUAGUAAUGAAUUAAAUUGGUACCAACAGAAGCCAGGGGAGGCUCCCAAGCUCCUAAUUUAUUAUACAAGCAACCUGCAUACUGGGGUCCCUGCCCGGUUCAGUGGCAGUGGCUCUGGGACAGAUUACUCCCUCACAAUCAGCAACGUGGAGGCUGAGGACGCUGCAGUCUAUUACUGUCAGCAGUGAUAUAGCUCUCCUCCCACAGUGAUACAGCCC